CUUGAUCGACCCGAGCCACAGCGGCCGGUCGUCCCGUCGUUCCUGCCCGUACGUGGCCAGAAGUGCCUGGGCCUC
rnacentral:antisense_RNA from 1 species